GACGAACGCUGGCGGCGUGCCAAAUACAUGCAAGUUGAGCUCUGAAGGUUGGUACUUGUACCAACUGGAUGAGCAGCGAACGGGUGAGUAACGCGUGGGGAAUCUGCCUUUGAGCGGGGGACAACAUUUGGAAACGAAUGCUAAUACCGCAUAAAAACUUUAAACACAAGUUUUAAGUUUGAAAGAUGCAAUUGCAUCACUCAAAGAUGAUCCCGCGUUGUAUUAGCUAGUUGGUGAGGUAAAGGCUCACCAAGGCGAUGAUACAUAGCCGACCUGAGAGGGUGAUCGGCCACAUUGGGACUGAGACACGGCCCAAACUCCUACGGGAGGCAGCAGUAGGGAAUCUUCGGCAAUGGACGAAAGUCUGACCGAGCAACGCCGCGUGAGUGAAGAAGGUUUUCGGAUCGUAAAACUCUGUUGGUAGAGAAGAACGUUGGUGAGAGUGGAAAGCUCAUCAAGUGACGGUAACUACCCAGAAAGGGACGGCUAACUACGUG
rnacentral:rRNA from 1 species